GGGUCGUCUAUUGUCACAAAAGGAGACGAAACCUUGGAUGGAACGGCUGAAAUAGAAACGCUCGGCGUAGCCGAUGUGAAAUUUGCGGACGCGCCUGGCGAAACGGCUCGAGCUGAAUCCUGCGAAGUUUCAGACGAACGAUCGCGCUCCCCUCUGCGGGGGACGCCCGCUCGGCGAGGCCGGGGGAGAGGCUGAGCGCAUAGCGGCUGAGAGAGACGCUUAAUGUGGCGGGGAACCUGACGCAGCACCCUGUUCCACAGACGUUUCCUGCGCAGGAUGCCGAGAGGAUAUACGCGCGCUCGGAUAAAUAAACAUUUUACAUUCCGCCCUUUGCUGACAGUACUUUUCGGGUGUAAUUUUUCCCUAUGCAGACUGACAAGAGCAAUAAACAUUUUAUUUUCAGUGGUAUGAAUGCCAUAAAUAUUUCGCUGUAUUCCCCUUAUCCAUAUUGCCAGGAUUGUACCGCCUAAUAUUGGUGCUCAGCUUGCGAUGUCUGCUCCAUUCUGCCAGAGUGCAGUCUGAGGAAAACGUGAUGAAAUAAACUUUACCAUAUGA